rnacentral:rRNA from 1 species
UGGGGAAUUUUACGCAAUGGGGGAAACCCUGACGUAGCGACACCGCGUGAGCGAAGAAGCCUUUUGGGGUGUAAAGCUCUGUCAGCUGGAACGAACACAAUGACGGUACCAGCAGAGGAAGCAUCGGCUAACUACGUGCCAGCAGCCGCGGUAAGACGUAGGAUGCAAGCGUUGUCCGGAUUCAUUGGGCGUAAAGAGUUCGUAGGUGGUCUGUUAAGUUUGGUGUUAAAGAGCGGGGCCCAACCCCGAUAGUGCACUGAAUACUUGCAGACUUGAGUGCGGUAGAGGUAAGUGGAAUUCCAAGUGUAGCGGUGAAAUGCAUAGAUAUUUGGAAGAACACCGGUGGCGUAAGCGACUUACUGGGCCGUAACUGACACUGAGGAACGAAAGCCGGGGUAGCGAAUG